rnacentral:lncRNA from 1 species
UUGGAGGUGUUGUCGAGCAUAUCAAAGGUGAAAACGCACAGCUAUAGGCUCCGACCAUAUCAUCGGAAUUCAAAGGCGCUUGAGUUACAGAGAAAUGGAGUAAUCUAGCCUAAUAUUUACUAUUUCAUUGUCUUGUUUAUAAAUUCAUACACUAUUAAAUUGCAAUUUAUGUUGAUGAGAGAGAGAGAGGUUUCUUGAAUGAUUUGAUGAGAUGUGAAGGAGUAGAGAAAUGAUGAGCGCAAAGAUGGUGAG